AUGGAAAGUGGGCUUUCAGAAACUGGCAUUGGCACAUGCCAAGAACUUUGGAGAAAGCAUUCUAGAAGCCAGGGGGUAGAGAAAGAAGGGUUAAUGGAUAGACAACUGUUACUUGGUACUUGGUCUUUGGUCUUGGUCUUGAACUGCCAUUUUGAUCCUGGUGCUGCCCAAACAGAGGGAGGAAGAGUUGCUUCUAGAACCUUUUCCUAUCUCAAGUCUUUGGAGAACAAAGGAAAACCCUUCAAUACUUCCCUGUGGUUCCUGAUCAGCAAAGAGCAGUUUGGAGCAGUUCUGGUUAUCCCUGUUGUCUGUAGGUAGUGUGGAAAACAACAUGGGGAUGAGAAAAGGUACAAAUAGUCACUCAUAUAUUCAUGGAUUAGAUUUGAGAGCACUUGACAUCAUGGACCCUAUGAAAAAUGAAGAGUUCUGGGAGGUAAGAGUUUCAGAUCUCGAUUUUUGUAGGUUUGGAGGAAAUGAAAUGACU
rnacentral:lncRNA from 1 species